rnacentral:lncRNA from 1 species
CUGAGUAGUACAUGCUACGAUGUUGUAACUUGCAUGUGCAGACUGCACAGGUAACUAUUUGUACAUCUCAUAACGCCAUAUUUAAUUACAACAUCAUUACAUAAUGUUUACCAGAAUACUAACAAAAAUGACAUCAUUAGUAAUAUAUCGACCAUCUAUAUAAUAUUCAGUUUUAGCCGAGGUAAUGGAUAAUAAGGGUGUGUCGCUUAGCGUCUGCAUUCUGAUUGGCUCAGCUGAGUGACAUCACAAAUGUUGUAUUCACUCAGAUAUGAAAACAAUAAUAUUAAUAUAGCAACGUCAGUUGAGAAUUUAUGGAAGUGGUGGAUGAUAUAACUCUCUUCAAUGUCAUGGUCUGGUCAAGAGAUCUCUACUCGUAAGGCUACAUCCAAUGAACGAGUUUUUUGGUCGGCGAAUAUCAUCUCCUUUAAUGGAAAUAUCGUUCAUUGUGCAGAUACAUCUUCAUAUCAAGAUUUUCACGGAAUCAUCGUAUACUUCUACAUAUAAGAACUAAGGAGACCUAUAAAACGACAGAAUAAUCGACUGAGAUACCAAGUGAGGAGCAGAGAGAGAGUUCUCAUCAUCCAACCACAGCUCCUUCUUUGAAAUUAUUGAAAGUAAACUCUGCUUCGUUUGUGAAAAAUAACAAAACUUUCUAACUCAUAGGGGAAGGGUUCCCAAUUUUAUUUAAUUAUAGUGGGAUUGUUUAAAAAAUAGAAAAAAAGCCAUUCCAUAAAACGACAAAAUAAUCAACUGAAUUCCCAGUGAGGAACAGAGAGAGGGAUCUCAGCCUCCAUACGCAGCUCCUUCUUUCAAAUUAUUGAAAGUCAAAUCUGCUUCGUCUCCUACUCUAAGGAAACUAUUCCAUUCUUAAGAUUCUUUCAGUUUCCUGGAUGUAUAUAAUGCAGAAAUCACUCAUCUCUAUCUCAUUUUUAUCAAUUCUAUUUAUAAGUUGGACUUCGUGAUAAACGAUUUAUAUGGAUAAUUAUAUAAGCUGGAUACUUCAAGCUCACGCCUGAUUGCUUUAUUACUACCGAGUCACUUGUCAUUGGAAUACAAGUGGAACAUGAUUCUAGACUGGUAAAAAUAAUGUGCUUCUCUUUUCUCGAUAUUUUGGUGUGCAAAUCAUAUUCUAUGCUGCUAUUUCAUAUAAAUAGUUAUUCGGAGCUGUUAUGUAAUUACGUGUAUUACAAAAUAUAUGACAAACCUAAAUUUUGUAGACCUAUGUUGAAAUAUCAUAGAACUUCCAAAACUUAUUUAGUCAGGAAUCCUUCUCCAAACAGCCAAAUUGCUUGCCACCAUAUUGUAUUAUUAUUCUUGUAAAGAUCUAUGAUCUCAACAGAAAUAAAUAAAUUUUUAAAUAUUUUCCAUAUCAGAUAA